rnacentral:rRNA from 1 species
GACGAACGCUGGCGGCGUGCUUAACACAUGCAAGUCGAACGGAAAGGCCCUGCUUUUGUGGGGUGCUCGAGUGGCGAACGGGUGAGUAACCCGUGAGUAACCUGCCCUUGACUUUGGGAUAACUUCAGGAAACAGGGGCUACUACCGGAUAGGCGCUCCUGCUGCAUGGUGGGGGUUGGAAAGUUUCGGCGGGUGGGGAUGGACUCGCGGCUUAUCAGCUUGUUGGUGGGGUAGUGGCUUACCAAGGCUUUGACGGGUAGCCGGCCUGGGAGGGUGACCGGCCACAUUGGGACUAGGAUACGGCCCAGACUGCUACGGGAGGCAGCAGUGGGGAAUAUUGCACAAUGGGCGGAAGCCUGAUGCAGCAACGCCGCGUGCGGGAUGACGGCCUUCGGGUUGUAAACCGCUUUCGCCUGUGACGAAGCGUGAGUGACGGUAAUGGGUAAAGAAGCACCGGCUAACUACGUG